rnacentral:rRNA from 1 species
GAGUAAACCGCUGGUGGCCUGCCCCAAAAAAGGGGAUAACAUCCCGAAAAGGGCAGUAAUACCGCAUGUGGUUGAAAGAGAUUAGAAUAUUUCAAGUAAAGGAGAUAUCCUUUUUGGGAGGGGCCUGNGUCCCAUCAGCUAGUCGGUGGGGUAACGGCCCCCCAAGGCGAAGACGGGUUAGGGACCUGAGAGGGUGACCCCCCGCAAUNGAUCUGAAACACGGUCCAUACACCUUCGGGUGGCCGCAGUAGGGAA